GUGUGUUUCUUAUUUGUAAAUGCUGGCUUGGCAUUCCACUGUGUCGACUGUCUUGACAAUAAGGCCUCAGCUCAGCAAGAAGGCAUCACAUUUACCACAAUAACAAAAGUAUUUCAUACUGACUAUCAACCUUAAAUAUUUGACAUUAUGUCAGCAGAUUUAAAGUUUCACUCUGGUUUGAGUCAGUAAAAUCACGAUCCAUAGUCAAUCAUUUUAAAUAGAAUCCUCUUCUCCCUUUAGUGAUCAAAUGUAAUUUAUUGUAUUUUAUUCUGCCUCGUGGUAUCUAGGGAACAUUUUUCACCGUAUGAUGCAGAUAUUCUGAUGCUCUUGUGUAGCAUGUUUUUCUGCAUGCAUCUUGCCUGCAUAAUGGGAUGUCUGUGUAUCUGUGUCCACGGUCGGAGAGCGAGAGAGAGAGAGAGAGAGAGAGAGAGCUCCUUUGGCUGCUGCGAGGCUCAGAGGAACACAAAGCGUCGGACUUGUGCCGGAACGCUGCUAUUUACAUAUCAAACAGCCUCGACCAUGAACAGACAUUACCUGUGUGUGUGUGUAUGUGUGUGUGUGUGUACUGUACAGGCAAAAUGCCGAUCAGGGAUGCAAAAAGGCAGCAUACCCGCCCACCCACACCACACACACACACACACACACACACACACACACACACACACACACACACACACACACACACACACACCGUUAGUGCUCUCUCUCUUGCCCAUUUAUUCUAUUAAUCCCUGACUGAGAUGAAAAUUCUGAUUAUAAUCCCUGAGGCACCCCUCAUUCAGAAACAGCAUCGCUAAUGUCUCAAAAGAGAACGGUUUGCAUGUGUGUGUGUGUGUGUGUGUGUGUGUGUGUGUGUGUGUGUGUGUGUGUGUGUGUGUACAUUGAUGUGUGAAUGGCCAUGUCUCUUUUAACUGAAAGAAGAAAAAAAAGUCUUGGCUUGAAAAUUGAAAUUUUAGAAGGAAUUCUUUGUGGAUUAUUUCUGCUGUAAAUACCAUUUCCGCUGUCCGGUUUUGCCAAUUGAUUUCUCAUAAUUGGCAACAGGAAUUGAAUCUGUCCCUCAAUGGGAAAUCAGUGAUAAUAUGUGUGUUAAUGAGCUGAAAUUGAUACUCAGCCAUUGCAAAGAAUUAUUCAUUUUAUUGACCAUUGAUUUUAUUGAGCAAUAUUGACUGAUAAACUAUAUUAGCAUGACAAUAUUUGGCUAUUAACAGAGAUAAUAUCGAUUGUUGUGCAUGUUUUCAAAUCCCUCAUUUAUUGGAUGCAUGAAUAUUUUCAGUCCUGAAAUAUGAAGAGCCUUCCUGACUUCUAGCCUUGUAACAUGAGAAUUGUUAGCCUGUGAUCUAAUGAUUAGCAAUUAGCUUAUCAUCACUGGUUAAUGCUAGCCACCUCAAUACACAUUAGUGCAUUUUUAACACCCAUCAUUGUCUGGCUCGGUGUCAGAUCUCUCUCUCUGUCGCAUGCAUAUUCUCUCCCUCCUCUUCUUUUUUUUUUUUUCCCUUUUUGGCUCAUUCGUCCGUCUCUCCCUUCAACAUUAACAGUCAAUGCAAAUCAGGGACAGCCAAUUGAUACUGAAUCAAUUACAGUAUGUUUGGUGUGUGUGUGUGUGUGCGUGCGUGUAUGUGUGUGUCUCAUGCUGAAGCACAUCCCGGCGAGCCUACAAAGAGAUUUCACACACUGGCUGCCAUUACUAAUCUAUUGUUGCUCCGUCUUUCUUUCUCAACACAAGAUUUUAUUUAGUGGACUCAAGUGCAGCGUUUGAACUGCAGCGUUUGUCUCCACAGAGACAUCUGACUGUGUCGACAUUUUGAAUGAGCUUACUGAAUGUAAACAUGUUCGGGGUGUGCAGAAAGCAUCAGUUGAAGGAUAACACAUACAGCAGGCCUCUGGAAUGACUGGAAAAGCUAAUAAUCUGCCAGCGAGGCCAACAGGCUCUAUUGUGUUUUAUACUCGGCGCUCAUGAAAAACCUCCAUAAACUGCAUAUUUGCUGAUUAUUGUCCUGCUGUAAAUGUGUGGGUGUGUGUUUGCAGAGCGUGUCUGCAAUCCAGACGGAACCCAAAAAAAAUAAAAAAAUUGGAUCUCACUGCUUACAAAUUUUGGAUGCAGUAAUAAAACACGGAUCGGAAAGAAAUUAUUUUUUUGUGUUGCUCAGAAUAGAACCUGAAGUCCUUUAUGUGAAAUUGUAGCUUCUGCAGGGAAAGUCCAGACCUGUGAGCCUGUUGGUUUAUCCUCUAUCCUGUUUGGUGAUGUGUGAUGCACACACGCUCAUAUUCUGUUGCAUAAUUAACCAUUUAGGCAACGUUCUUAAAUCUUUUCAAGAAAUUUAAAGAGGAAAUCAAGCAAUUUAAUAUCGCCUUAAAAACUCUGAGGUUGCCAGGGAACAAAGAACGGUUACUAAGAAGCGUCAAAAUGGAAGCAACAAAAGCUGAGAAAUAGAGACUGAAAAAAAAAGAGUUUUGCUUUCUCAAAUCCUACAACUUUUAUAUUUUUAACACAUUUCGAACUUUUCCUUUAGUUUACGUUUGUGUGUUUUAAGCUCAUUCCUCAACAUUGAUUUUGACACACACACACACACACACACACACACACACACACACACACACACACACACACACACACACACACACACAUACACACACACACACACACACACACACAAUAGACAUGUUAAUGUUUCCAAAUUCCUCUUUUGGUGUGGAAUCUGAGAAAUUGCCUUCCUUUUAAAUCAACUUUAGAUUCAAUCUUGAACUUGCCAAAGUGCCUUUGUGCAAGACAAUGGCCUUGGACUGAAUGUGACCUUUGACCUCUCAUUGCAGUUCGGGAAGAGCAGUGACAAGAGAAGUGUCCAGUUGAGAUAUUGAGACUCUCUUAUUGUUAUAUAUAAGUAGCUGAAAGGAAACAGCAUCAUAACAGCACAACAUGCAAACAGCACAGUGAAAGAAUUAACAGACAUUAUAAGUCAUGCAUUGACUUUGCAAUUCAGUGAUCAGUUAUGUCAACUGAAACCUUUUUUUUGUCUCAAAGGCAUUACCACGUAUGUUUUGACAUGGCAGAUAUAAAGUACAGCUAGGUUGCAGGACUGUUCUUAAAAAAAGUAUAAUUGUGCAUGUGCAGGAUUGAUCAGGCACAGUCGGCCUUUUAUCCAGACAAACGGUCUGGCUGCACAGGAAGUGAUGCAUUUUGCAUGUGCAGUAGGUUCAGAAUAUACAGAAGUGCAGACCAGGAGUGGCAAUCAUUGCCACCGCGGCUGAACACACAACAACAACGACGUCGACAUCAAAGGGUAAAAAAUAAAUAAAAAAAACCCUCCAGAGAAAGACGUCAUGCUGCCCACACGCUCUGAUUGACAGCUGAUCCCUGGGAAGUCUGCGCCACAGCGACGAUGACCAAGGAUGGAGGCAGAUCUUUAGAAAAAACAAAAGAUUAUCGUGUUCGGUAAACCACUCCAAAACAAUGACAGAGAACAAUAAGACACAAAAAAAGACCCGUGUUAUUUCCCAGCUUGCACUAUUUGCAGCUGCGACAGCGUCUCUGUGACGUCACGCAGACUGCUCUGCAUGAUGGAGGAUUGUUUAUUGAUCCGACUCGUCGUGUUUAUGCGAACGGCUCGGCGUCCACGCUAACAUCUCCUCCUCCUCCUCCUCGUCCGUGGUGAGAGGGAAAGCUGCUGUUUUUGGCUCGCUCACUGCUCCCUGUGUGUGUGUGUGUGUUUAUUCCUCAUAGACACACACACAUGCACACACACACACACACACACACACACACACACACACACACACACACACACACACACACACACACACACACACACACAAACUCUGCUCGGUCUGCUCAGGGGGUGCACAUGUAACUCAGCUCUCUUAUUAUGUUGAAGGCAGUUGAAGGCCUGUUCAUAAAACUGUUUAUACACUACAAAGCUUAUUUAUAUAGGCCACUGGAUUACAGACUGGCUCUGCACACACACCACACACACACACACACACACACACACACACACACACACACACACACACACACACACACACACACACACACACACACACACACACACACACACACAGAUGCAUCGCACACAUUCUGUAUAUUCACAUCUCACUAGCUGGAAAUGUGUGCAUUUAUCAGUACUUCUCAUUGUACCUGCAGAAUGUCUACAUAUGUGUGCAUGAGUAACAUGAACAGUGUGUGUGUGUGUGUGUGUGUGUGUGUGUGUGUGUGUGUGUGUGUGUGUGUGUGUGUGUUGUGCAGUCUGCAGGACAUCCCCUGGUAAAGAGUGCCAGGGCUGAGCUGGUAGUGUGUAUGUGUGUGGCCAGAAUGUGUGUGUGUGUGUGUGUGUGUGUGUGUGUUGAAGGGCCUGGCUCCAUGCUCUCGUUUCAUGUUCCCCAUUUGGCUGAAAUACUUCUACAACUGCAGAAGAGCAGCACACACACACACACACACACACACACAUAUGCUGCCACCCUGUUAGUGUGUGUGUUGACAAGUAGAGCACAUAUAGCGUACGCACAGCUCCAUACAAGUGGGUUUAAUCUUUUAUUUUGGCAUUGUGAGUGUGUUUCUUUCUCACUCCCACCUCCUCUUCUUCUACUACUUCACAUCCUACUUCUCAGCGAAUCAAAAGCCUGUUUAGCGCCAAAUAAAGUGAAUCCUCAAAGUGGGAUAACAUAUGUAAUUCUUAUGAUCUCAGGCAGCUCGCUCCAUAUUUCUUCUUUUUUUUUUUAACACAAACAACUCGCUGCAAAGACGAGAAAAACUGAGGGCGCUGAUGGUGUUUGAACAAUUUGUUCUCUUAGAGGCAGAUUUCAGUCUUGAGUGUGAGAUGAGAAGAAAAAAAACACAAAGCAGCCAAAAACAAGAUUAUAGUGGUGAUGUCAUUCAUAGUAAAACUAGAGUAAGUCACUUUUCAGGAAGCAGCCGUGCAUCUCAGAAUGUGCUGAAUUUUUUCUAAUACAUUUCAAGGAUCAAAUGGUCUAAAGGGGGAAAAGUCUAUUAAGAAAUAAUGAUAAUCAGUCCUGUUGUAUAAGUGGGGGUCACGAGGGACACAUGAACCCAGCUAAAGGCCCACGGGGGUCCCAUGCAAAGAUAACUCCUUUUUUUAAAACCUGAUGGUAAUCAUAUAACUGUUUAUGCAAUUUACAAUCAUUUCUGGUUACAGCUUCCUGAAUGUGAGGAUUUACUUUUCACUGAUGGUCAGACAGAAAAUGCACAAGAUGCCCCCUAAAAUCUGACGAUUUUAAGUGAGGGUAAGAGACAAAACUAGUGAUCCAAUCAUCAGUCGGUAUGAUAAUCUGUAGACUCAGCAAAAAAAAAAA